rnacentral:tRNA from 2 species
UGCCGGGUCGUCUAAUGGUAGGACAACGGACUUUGGAUCCGUUUAUCUAGGUCCGAAUCCUAGCCCGGCAGCCU